rnacentral:rRNA from 1 species
UACGAAGGGGGCUAGCGUUGUUCGGAAUUACUGGGCGUAAAGCGCACGUAGGCGGACAUUUAAGUCAGGGGUGAAAUCCCAGAGCUCAACUCUGGAACUGCCUUUGAUACUGGGUGUCUUGAGUAUGGAAGAGGUGAGUGGAAUUCCGAGUGUAGAGGUGAAGUUCGUAGAUAUUCGGAGGAACACCAGUGGCGAAGGCGGCUCACUGGUCCAUUACUGACGCUGAGGUGCGAAAGCGUGGGGAGCAAACAGG